UACGUAGGGUGCAAGCGUUGUCCGGAUUUAUUGGGCGUAAAGAGCGUGUAGGCGGCCAGGUAGGUCUGCUGUGAAAACUCGAGGCUCAACCUCGAGAUGUCGGCGGAAACCAUCUGGCUAGAGUCCGGAAGAGGAGAGUGGAAUUCCUGGUGUAGUGGUGAAAUGCGCAGAUAUCAGGAAGAACACCCGUGGCGAAGGCGGCUCUCUGGGACGGUACUGACGCUGAGACGCGAAAGCGUGGGGAGCGAACAGG
rnacentral:rRNA from 1 species